rnacentral:rRNA from 1 species
CCUACGGGAGGCUGCAGUGGGGAAUAUUGCACAAUGGGCGCAAGCCUGAUGCAGCCAUGCCGCGUGUGUGAAGAAGGCCUUCGGGUUGUAAAGCACUUUCAGCGGGGAGGAAGGCGUUAAGGUUAAUAACCUUGGCGAUUGACGUUACCCGCAGAAGAAGCACCGGCUAACUCCGUGCCAGCAGCCGCGGUAAUACGGAGGGUGCAAGCGUUAAUCGGAAUUACUGGGCGUAAAGCGCACGCAGGCGGUCUGUCAAGUCGGAUGUAAAAUCCCCGGGCUCAACCUGGGAACUGCAUUCGAAACUGGCAGGCUAGAGUCUUGUAGAGGGGGGUAGAAUUCCAGGUGUAGCGGUGAAAUGCGCAGAGAUCUGGAGGAAUACCGGUGGCGAAGGCGGCCCCCUGGACAAAGACUGACGCUCAGGUGCGAAAGCGUGGGGAGCAAACAGGAUUAGAUACCCCUGUAGUC